GACGGAGGGUGCAAGCGUUGUUCGGAUUGACUGGGCGUAAAGGGCGUGUAGGCGGUUGGUCAAGUCCGAUGUGAAAGCCCGGGGCUCAGCUUCGGAAGUGCAUCGGAAACUAGCCAGCUGGAGCGCGAUAGAGGAGGGCGGAAUUCCUGGUGUAGCGGUGAAAUGCGUAGAUAUCAGGAGGAACACCAACGGCGAAGGCAGCACUCCGGGCCGGUACUGACGCUGAGGAGCGAAAGCGUGGGGAGCAAACAGG
rnacentral:rRNA from 1 species